rnacentral:rRNA from 1 species
UCAAGCUAUUAAGGGCAUACGGAGAAUGCAUUGGCACAAGAAGGCGAUGAAGGACGCGGCAAGCUGCGAUAAGCUUCGGGAAGGCGCUAACGGCCGUUAAUCCGAAGAUUUCCGAAUGGGGCAACCCGUUACCGGUAAUACGGUAUCAUCUCUUGCUGAAUUCAUAGGCAAGAAGAAGCAAACCCGGGGAACUGAAAUAUCUAAGUACCUGGAGGAAUAUAAAUCAAAAGAGAUUUCCCAAGUAGUGACGAGCGAACGGGAAAUAGCCCAAACCAGGCCGACUUGUCGGCUUGGGGUUGUAGGACCCUUGUAGUGAUCUGUAAGUAGGUAAGUGAAGUUGUCUGGAAAGCAACGCCAUAGUGGGUGAUAGCCCCGUAACGUAAACCGAAAGCAGCAUGUGGGUAUCCUGAGUAGUGCGGGACACGUGAAAUCCUGUGCGAAACUGGGAGGACCAUCUUCCAAGGCUAAAUACUCUCUUGUGACCGAUAGAGGAUAGUACCGCGAGGGAAAUGUGAAAAGAACCCUUAUUAAGGGAGUGAAAUAGAACCUGAAACCGUAUGCCUACAAGCUGUCGGAGUCCCGAUUUAUCGGGAUGACGGCGUGCCUUUUGCAUAAUGAGCCAGCGAGUUACUCGUACGUUGCGUAAGGUUAAGAGGUCAACAAGCCUCGUAGCCGUAGCGAAAGCAAGUCUGAAUAGGGCGUCCCGAAAGGGGUGUAACGUGCGGUAGACGCGAAACCUUAGUGAUCUAGCCAUGGCCAGGUUGAAGUAAGGGUAAAACCUUAUGGAGGACCGAACCGGUGUAAGUUGAAAGUUGCUCGGAUGAGCUGUGGCUAGGGGUGAAAGGCUAAUCAAACUGGGAGAUAGCUCGUUCUCCUCGAAAUAUCUUUAGGGAUAGUCUCGGAUAAUAAAAAGUCGCGGGGGUAGAGCACUGAUAGGGCUAGGGCUGUCACAACGGUACCAAACCCUCUCAAACUCCGAAUACCGUUGACUUGUUCUCCGGGAAGCAGCUGGCGAGGGAUAAGCUUCGUUGGCAAAAGGGAAAGAACCCAGAUCAUCAGCUAAAGUCCCAAAGUAGAGGCUAAGUGAUAAAGGAUGUGGAACCGCAGUGACAACUAGGAUGUUUGCUUAGAAGCAGCCAUCAUCUAAAGAUCGCGUAAUAGCGCACUAGUCAAGCAGUUCCGCGCCGAUAAUACACGGGACUAAGCCUCUCACUGAAGCUGUGGAUUUACAGAUUUAUCUGUAAGUGGUAGAGGAGCAUUCCAUUAACCGUCGAAGGUUGGGCGCGAGCCCGGCUGGAGGACAUGGAAGAGAUUAUGCUGGCAUAAGUAGCGAUAAAAGGAGUGAAAAACUCCUUCACCGAAAGCCCAAGGUUUCCUGAGUAAAGUUAAUCUGCUUGGGGUUAGUCGGAGCCUAAGGCGAGGCCAAGCGGCGUAGCUGAUGGUAAUCAGGUUAAUAUUCCUGAACUGCUUUGUAUUCGUUAUCAGUCAAGGGGUGACGCAGAAGUGAAAGACGAGCCUGGAUUGGUUUCCAGGUUUAAGUGUGUAGCUAGAUCGUGUAGGCAAAUCCGCACGGUCGUUUUAACGUGAAACACGAAUAAGAAACGAGCCUUCGGGCAAGCCAAUUCGUCCUAAUCAUGCUGCCAAGAAAAACCUCUACACGAGAAUGCAAGGUAUCCGUACCGUAAACCGACACAGGUGGGCGAGGAGAAUAUCCAAAGGUGCUCGAGAUAGCGCUUGUUAAGGAACUAGGCAAAUUGACCCCGUAACUUCGGGAUAAGGGGUGCCCCGCAAGGGGCCGCAGUGAAAUGGGAUUACCGACUGUUUACCAAAAACACAGGGCUCUGCAAAGUCGUAAAGACGACGUAUAGGGUCUGACACCUGCCCGGUGCUGGAAGGUUAAGGAGAGAGGUUAGCGCAAGCGAAGCUUUGAACCGAAGCCCCAGUAAACGGCGGCCGUAACUAUAACGGUCCUAAGGUAGCGAAAUUCCUUGUCGGGUAAGUUCCGACCUGCACGAAUGGUGUAACGAGUGAUCCUGCGUCUCAACAAGCGCCUCGGCGAAAUUGUAGUGCCGGUGAAGAUGCCGGCUCCCCGCAGCGGGACGGAAAGACCCUAUGAACCUUUACUAUAACCUAGCAUUGUGUUUUGACAUUACAUGCGUAGCAUAGGUGGGAGACUUUGAAGCCUGGGUUCUGGCCUGGGCUGAGUCGCAAUGUGAAAUACCACCCUUGUGAUAUUGAAAUUCUAACUCAAGUUUCUGAAUCGAGGCUGAGGACAGUACUAGGCGGGUAGUUUGACUGGGGCGGUCGCCUCCUAAAAUGUAACGGAGGCUCCCAAAGGUUUCCUCAGCACGCUUGGUAACCGUGCGCAGAGUGCAAAGGCACAAGGAAGCUUAACUGUAAGGCAUACAAGCCGAGCAGAGACGAAAGUCGGGCUUAGUGAUCCGGUGGUUCUGCAUGGAAGGGCCAUCGCUCAAAGGAUAAAAGGUACGCUAGGGAUAACAGGCUGAUCGGGUCCAAGAGUCCACAUCGACGACCCGGUUUGGCACCUCGAUGUCGGUUCAUCGCAUCCUGGGGCUGGAGAAGGUCCCAAGGGUUUGGCUGUUCGCCAAUUAAAGCGGUACGUGAACUGGGUUCAGAACGUCGUGAGACAGUUCGGCCCCUAUCUGCUGUGGGCGUAGGAUACUUGAAGGGUUCUAUUCUUAGUACGAGAGGACCGGAAUGGACGAACCUCUAGUGCAUCUGCUGUUUUACCAAAGGCAUGGCAGAGUAGCUACGUUCGGAUGGGAUAAGUGCUGAAAGCAUCUAAGUACGAAACCCACCCUGAGAUUAGGUAUCCCUGUCGCAAGACACUUAAGACUCCACGGAGACUACGUGGUUGAUAGGUCACAGAUGUAAGCGCAGCAAUGCGUUCAGUCGAGUGAUACUAAUAAGUCGUGCGGCUUGAUUUAAUUUUAUUUU